UCUAGCCAAGGCAAAAGCCGCGUGGACCGUAGCGAGUGUCAGCGGCAUCCCUACUAUAAGCAAAAAUGCCUCGCCUGCGUUAGUACACAUGCACCGAACUCGCUUAUUCAAGCCAAUGUAUUUUUAUUGAAGUGCGACUGCUGGUUUCUUUAUGCUGUGCCCAAAGGGAACAAUGGAUUUCAUUAAUGGAAAUCAACACAAUUAAAAAGAACAUAUUUGUUUGUUCAGAUCACAUCCUUAGAAGUGAUUUCUUAUAUAAGGAAGAUAAUAUUAUCAGUAGCCAGACUUUAUUAAAAAAAUCAGCUCUACCUCAAAGGAUUUCUGAUGCACUGGUUAAAAACACAGCAGCUGAUAAUUCAGUUAAUUUAUACCAAGUGAUUUACCCUUCAAAGCUGCAGGGGUAUUUUUCCUGAAGAGUGCAAAAACUUCUUUAGCUUCCAAAAUGGUAUAUAGUACAAACAGUGAAGCUAAUAUAGACAAAUCUGAUCAUUCAUCAUCAACAAUAACUGCAUCUGAGAUUAAUAGUUACCGUGGGGUCUAGGUCAACAAUUACUAUUUCUCAUCCAAGCCGUUUUUGUUUAACUGCUACACAUUCCCUGACGCUGCCAAGGAAAAGGGUAAAAUCAAAAUGAUAUCCUGAGGACCUAAGCACUGAUAAUUCCACCGUUUCAAAAGCUAAGUCACUUGUCACCAAAUUAUGGAAAAAAAAGAACAAAAAAUUAAAAUUCGAAGAUUGCAACAAACAAAUUUGCGCCAAAGAAAUUGAAUUAGAUUUUUCAAGUCAUUAUUAAAAUACUUAAGAAAUAAUAACAUGAUUUUCGAAAA